UAAGGAGUAGUACAAGGGGAGUACAGAGGGUUUUGAUCUCUCUAAUAUAGGUUCAAUUCCUAUCUCUUUA
rnacentral:tRNA from 1 species